rnacentral:miRNA from 1 species
UUGGGUGACGCACCCCGGAAU